rnacentral:lncRNA from 1 species
AAGGAGAGGAAAGGAAAUAGCGUGGGGAAAGCAAAUAGUGAGAUCUGUCCUACACUGAGAUACCAGAAUGAGGUGUCACCCUGAGAAGGUGACACUGAAGAUGAAUACUAAGUAACCAUUAGGAUGGGUCGAGGGAGGGAGGUGAGCAUUCCCGGUUUGGGAACAUCCAGGAAAAAAAAUCACAAUUCUACCCUGUGUUUAAACUUGUCCUUGUCACGAUCGCCACUAUUUUGACUUCUGUCAUUGUUGAUCCAACAAAGAAAACAAGUGUUUUCUGCUAAUGCAAGAGAAUCUGGGGACUUCUUAUACUGGCUGAGAUAAUUAUAACAAGACCAAAUAAAGGGAGUUGGUAAGUUAAAUCUUUAAAAUUCAACUUCCUAAAACACACAGGGAGCAAAUCUAAUUUCCUCCUAUCCAAAAAGGAGGCAAGUAACACAGCCUCAGGCUGAAAGGCAGUAUAACAAUUACAGAUUCAAGUUGCAGGAAAUUCUCUCAAGGGCGUGUCUCCAUAUUAGGCUGACAAGAGACAGAAUUAAUAAAAUUCUAACAAGGGAAGCCUUCACCCCACCUGGUUAAUGGGUAUAUUUUUAGUAUCAUUAAGGAAGCUGAGGUGUAAACAUGCCUGUCUUUUUACAAAAGCCUAGCUGAGUGUUUUGUAAUCUCCAAGCGAAGGUACAAAGUUGCUGAAUUUCUGAAGGUUCCUCUAUUUAAAACUGUACAGAGUGUGCCCAAAGUCCCCUGGGGUCAAGGAAGUCAAAGCAUCUUCAAGGGCAGCAAGAAAGGCAGGGUGGCUGGGGACUCAGGAAGAGGGUCUCGGGAGAGAGCGAGGGGUCCAGGUGCAUCUUGGGAUGUGACUGAGGAGGUGGGAGCAACAAGCAGGUGCGACGAGAUGCUGACUGGACCAGAGUGCAGAGAGAGGAACAGACAGGAGUGGUCUCAGCCAUAAAUGUUGACGAGGGGCAGGACACGACUUGGGCGUGGCUGGGAUAUUCAUUCAAUCAUUCUGUUACUAUUGAUUGAGCACCUGCUAUGAACUGAGCAUUGUUUUGGGUGCUGUUUGAGGG